rnacentral:rRNA from 1 species
GACGAACGCUGGCGGCGUGCUUAACACAUGCAAGUCGAGCGGUAAGGCCCUUUCGGGGGUACACGAGCGGCGAACGGGUGAGUAACACGUGGGUGACCUGCCCUCAGCUCUGGGAUAAGCCUGGGAAACCGGGUCUAAUACCGGAUAUGACUCCAUGACGCAUGUUGUGGGGUGGAAAGCCUUGUGCGGCUGAGGAUGGGCCCGCGGCCUAUCAGCUUGUUGGUGGGGUGAUGGCCUACCAAGGCGACGACGGUAGCCGCCUGAGAGGCGACCGGCCACACUGGGACUGAGACACGGCCCA